GGGCCUGUAGCUCAAUGGUUAGAGCAGGGGGACUCAUCAUCCCUUGGUUCCAGGUUCGAGUCCUGGCGGGGCGA
rnacentral:tRNA from 1 species